UCCUCUUCUCAACACUACAAGACCUUAGGGUUUUGUUUUUAAGACUUAGAGAUCCAUUAAUCAAGUUCCUAAAUGCAGGCAGUUUUUACACAUAAUUCUGCCUGUCUCACCCUGGGGUGAUGCCUGGCAAUGUUCCAAAUAGUGGUGAUUCAGUCUAUCUGGACGGGUAGAACCACUACUAUAUGAAACAGUCUCUAGUGAUAUAGGAUGGACACAUAGCAGGCACUGUAAACACAUACUUGUUGCUUGAAUUCAUGGAGCUGUGGAGGCUAUUUGUUAUUGCAGCAUAACUUAGCUUUUCCAGGAUCCCGG
rnacentral:lncRNA from 1 species